UCGAUUUCUCAGUCCUAACCAGUUCUACCUAAAUGACUGGGUUUUUUUAAUAGAAGGAUCCUAUUAAUAAUUGAGAGUCAGUGUUUAUACUGUUUUGUGUGUGAUUAACAAGAAUAAACGGGUCGAUUUCAUCCUCCCCACUGAACCUCCUCCUACAGGGUUGCCAAGACUGCAGGGUAAAGAAAGGAAAGACAAAAAGGAGAAAAAAAAUCCGUAACUACAAACAAAAGCAAAUGAAGGGCAUACAUACUAAAAGAACUACCAACAUACAUUGCUACUUUCAAAAAAGAACAACAUAGCCAUCAAGAUUAGAAAUACAAUCUUGAGGGUUUAAAUAACCAGCAGAAGAGGGGCUUUGAAGGAAGAGGGGUGGUUGGGGCAUUCUUCCCACACCCCUACAGCCUAGGCACUGCAGCUUCCACCUUCGGCCCUUCCCAGCAUCCAUCCUAGAGAAUAAAAAGCCCAGCUCCAGGGGUUCUGGGAGUCCGUCUUGGGCCACUCUCCUGAGCUCGGCCUCCCUGGGGGAACUGGCCAUUAACACACUUUCGCGGCGGAAGUGAGCGUGUUGAAGGGUACAGUCACUAAAUUGAAAGGAGAGCUGCUUUUUAUUCAUUUGAGUAGAGGUCUGCAGGACACACCAAAGAACUCCUCCAAGUCACACAAGGGAGAAAAUUAACUUCAUUGGCUUCUAUCAGGAAAGCUAUUUUUUUUUUCCUCUUCUUUCCUGCAAGUUUCCCAAACCCCAUGACUCUGAUUUCCAGGUCAGAGACUAAGGUUUUAUUUUUCUUACUCUGUAUACUUUAUAUGUGGAGAGUCCCUGAAGGAACACUGUGAUGGGCUGAUUACUGUGAGCCAGUUGUGGGCCAGACCUGGCCUCAGGUGCUGCAAAGGGAAUUCAGUCACCCCUGUGCAGUGAUCUGUGAGCCCCAAGUCAGAUCCAACUUUUUCCUGAUAGACAGCACCCUCCUCCUCCCUACCAAGAAAUAGCAGGGUUGGAGGUAGUGACCCAAUAUUCAAGAGGUUUGAAAUUCUACAUGAGAUAUUUCUGAGUUAACUCCUAAAUAGCAGUUUCCUUAAUCAUGUGGAAAAUAAGAACACUUACUAAAGAGACCAUUGGUUUAAGAGAAAUGGAAACUUAUGUCCACGUAAAAACCUGUAAAUGAAUGUUCACAGCAGCCUUUUCAUAAUAGCCAAAAAGGGAAAGCAAUCCACACGUCCAUCAACCAAUGAAUGGAUAAACUUAACGUGGGAUAUACGUGUAAUGGAAUGCUAUUUGGUGAAGAAAGAAAUGAAAUAUUAAUACAUGCGUUAACAAGGAUGGACCUUAAAAUAUCAUGCUAAGUAAGAGAAGCCUGUCACAAAAGAAUAUGUAUUGUACCAUUCUACUUAUAUGAAAUUCCUAGAAUAGGCAAUUCUAUAGGGACAGAAACUAGACUAGUGAUUGGCUAGAGCUUGGGGAGAGUUUGGGGAGCCUGGAGGAUGACAGCAAAGUGGUGCAGAGUUUCUUUUUAGGUUGAUUAAAUGUUGUAAAAUUAAUUGUAGUGAUGGUUGUGCAACUUUGUGAUUUUGUUAAAAACCAUUGCAUUUUGCCCUUUAAAUGGAUGAAUUGCACAAUGUGUGAAUUAGACAUAAGUUUAUUUACAUAAUUAAUAUCUAUUUAUUGAUAUAUAACUCAUAUAUCAAUAAAUAUAUACUAUAUAAAAUAAUUUUAUAUUUAUAUAAAAUGUGAAUUAUAUAUAAAUACAUAAAUAAAACUGCUAAAAACUAAAAAAUAUAUACUUUAAAAAAAGGCUGUUCGUUUCUUUCACAUUUUCUGAGCACAAUCACUUUGGGAUAAAUGUGUCCAGGCUUAAAAAGCCAGAUUUUAUGGGCUAACUAAAAUGGAAAUGUGAAAAACUGUGUUUUUUUCCAUAGGAGGAGAGAGUCUGAUUUGCAGGUACGUGCAUACCCACAGCAGUCAUACUUGUAAUUCUUGGAAACUUUGCUGAAAGUUUUUUC
rnacentral:lncRNA from 1 species